GCCGGAGUGGCGAAAUUGGUAUACGCACCAGACUCAAAAUCUGACGAGCUUAACGCUCAUGUCGGUUCGACUCCGACCUCCGGUACCA
rnacentral:tRNA from 2 species